UUUCUGUUAUGGAUUGGAGGGCUGAGAUUGAAUCAGUUAGAGUUAGUUAUAGGAGUUUGGAGGUUGGUUAAUUCUGUUUGAAGUUUGUUGUAUGGUGAAAUGAAUUCUGUUUAUUUGAAAUUGAAAGGUGAGGGGGAAAGCUAGAAUUGGUUAACAGGUUAGUUGCUGGUAGUUAGGGGCUACAAAAUCGGUUAGGGAAGUUAGUUAUAGGUAUUGGGGAAUUAGUUCUGUUAGUUAAAAAGUUGGCUGUAGGUAGUUAGUAAACUGUUAUGGUGGGUAAUUGUGAACUGAUUUUUGUAUGUGGACUGUUUAUUUGCCGUGACAGUUUGAAAUUGAAUUGGUUGCAGGGUAAGUGGAUGUUUGGCUUAGAUGUAUAAUCCUUGGGUCAGGUCUUUGAAUAGGCUGAUUGUGUUUGAGUCUUGAGGUGGUUUAUUUGAAUUCUUUUGGCUUAAGCGCAAGUUCGGUUAGCAGCUGUUUGGAUCGGAUUGAAAGUGAGCGAAUUGGCUACGGGAUGUAUAUGUAUGAAUGUAGUGUGGAUAUGGUUGAUAUGUCUUGGAAAUGUAUGAAAGUGGUAUUGGACAUAGGCAAUUAUUUGGUUUUGGAAUGCUGAUUGGAAAG